ensembl:lncRNA
GUGUUAGAUGAAUGACAAAAUCUAUGGGGGGGCCCCCUUUGGGCCCCCCCAUACCAACUUAGUCUUCAAAGGAAUCUAGUGCCAUGGGACUCCAGUGUCUUCAGGGCCGUUGCGUGGGCCGUAGUGGCUUCCAGAGCCAUCUUUCGGUCUUGGUCAAGAUUUGUUACAGUUGCCCUUCAAUGUAGCAGGCUACGGGUUUCUGAAGAAGCCUGCUUUACGUAGCAUUGGAGUACAAAUAUUGUGCAAAAUGCUCAUGUAAUUGCACUAGCACUAGUAACCUGUAGAUUAGCUUAGUUUAACGUCAUUCCGUGCUGUCUCUGUCAAAUGUGUGGCUUACUUUAAGUCCACAAGGCCCUCUGGUAAACCACGUUGGAACACCCCUGGACAAGGUGAUUAUAGUCACUGGGUUUGCGACGGCCAGGACCAGAUGGCCUAGUGUGAGUGCAACCUUGAUUGCAUUUGUAUACUGUUUACCAUUGGAUGUUUAUGCAAUUUGGCUUAAUUCAUCCGCAGUAAAGCUGCAUUUGACUAUUCCAGGGUUGUUUUGUACAGGCUUUCAAUUGACCAUGUUGACUAGUCUGUGGGAAGUUUUUUUUUUUUUUUUACCUUUGCUUACAAUCCAACGGUUGUGACCACUUAUGCAACUGGGCUGUGAACCUUGCAAUUCUAGUUGCAUAUUUGUACACGCAAGCUUGUCCAUUUCUAUCGCCAUCACUAACACUAGCUUCAGCAUUUCCUUGUAGGCCAUUAGCUGACUUGUGUAUUAGAGAGAUGAUUUGGGUAUUUUAAGAUGCUUGAAAACCUAAAAUAAAGCAAAAUGCGUGUCUGGUGUGCAAGAGCCAAUUUGUUGGCUUGCAGUAGUCGAGGAGUUGCCGUAGAUCGUAAUCCAUCUCGAGGUUGUGGCAAUGGAGGCUUGUGGUAGAUCUGCCAUCCAAGAAAGGUUAAUUCUUCUGAAGCAUGAUCAAUAGUUUAGUCAAUUGAAUCUAUUCAUAUAGAACUAUGAAAUCCAAGACUGCAGCCAGUAACUUGGAUCGCAAUAUGUGGAAAGUAUUAGUCUUCAUUUGUAACAACAGAAUAAUUAACAUGACUAACUGGGUUUCUUCCAUUUUCUAACCAGGGGGACUUGACUGAGUCUCUACUGGAUUAAUCAGUAGCGGUACUUUGCCCAACAGAUUUGAUGGCAUGACUACAGGGUGACAAAGACAAUUAUUCCCUGCCCAUCAAAAGAGACUUCUAAAACAUAUCUGCUAGAACAGUUCCUAUACUUUUUGUAUAAUUUGGUCAUGCUGCAAAUUUACUUUUUGUCGUUGCUCCAUAUUUAGUUAUUUGACAGCCUCACCUGCUAGAAAAGUCUAUUCAAAUCGUCUAAAUAUAAUGAACUAAAUUAAUAGCCAUGAAAUGUUGUCACUCAUACUAAUGGCUAAUACCCUCUUUCAGUUGGUGGUUCAACACUGAUGUCUCUCUAGGCUUGAGGGAGAGCUCACAAGUAAAUUACACAAAUGUCCUGGAGCAAUUGGGAAUACACUUUUAUUUAGUCUACCUGACCAGGGACAUCUUUGAACUAUAGGUCACCUAACCCAAACUUUUCACUCUUGUUAGGUUGUCCUUUUCUCUUGUUUUAACCCGAAAGGGCUGAAAUAUCAACAUUUCAGCUAUUCUGUUUGGAUAAUGUGCAAAACUUGUGGC